UACGUAGGCAGCAAGCGUUGUUCGGAUUUAUUGGGCGUAAAGAGCGUGUAGGCGGCCUGACAGGUCUGCUGUGAAAACUCGAGGCUCAACCUCGAGAUGUCGGCGGAAACCGUCUGGCUAGAGUCCGGAAGAGGAGAGUGGAAUUCCUGGUGUAGCGGUGAAAUGCGCAGAUAUCAGGAAGAACACCUAUGGCGAAGGCAGCUCUCUGGGACGGUACUGACGCUGAGACGCGAAAGCGUGGGGAGCGAACAGG
rnacentral:rRNA from 1 species